rnacentral:misc_RNA from 1 species
GCAGAACCGAUGUGAGACGCAUCAACAUAUGUAAUAAUUUGUAAUCAUAAAUGUAAGGGAGGUAAGUGGAGUCUCUUGGUGUCAGAGAAUAAACAGACUCAUGCAAUGGACAUAAAAGGAGCAAGUUUCUUUCUCAUGUCAAGUGAUGAAUAGGUAGAAGAUAUGUAAUGAGAGUAUAAGAUUAGUGAUAGAUGAUGUCAAAGGUAUGCUAAUCGGUAACUUGUAUGUAUUGUGAAAGUUUAUGGAAAGUUCUAGGAGGAGGAAAUGUGAUUAGGGAGAGAUAUCCUUGAAAUAUGAACACUCUCAUAGCAAAAGGAAUGAGAGGUAUUUAUGUGAGUGAUGGUUGAGAAACUGUUGAUCUGAUGUCCUGUGGCUAAAGUUUGAAUGGGUAGGCUUUGUAAGCAUUAAAAAUGUAAGGUCAAGGCCCAAUAUGUUUCCAAAUAUGCAUGGGUUGCAUUCAAGCCCAUUGGAUAAGGUCUAGAGAUUUGAGUUCUCCAUUGACAAGCACUCUUUGAGGCAACCUAGCCAAUUCUCCCUAAUCAUCCCUUAAUUUAAGUGUUACUUUUUUAGAACUCUGCCACUAUCUUUUUAAGUAAUCCUUUUCUUUUUGAUAGUGAUGUCUAUUUCCUUACUUUUAAGAAUCUGAAUUUAAUGCUAGAUUUCAGAUGUAUCUACACAAUCAAACUUCAAAUUCCCUAGUUAAAUUUGUAUUGAUGAAAAUUUUAAUUGGAAAAUAGUUUGGUUUUCACAACUUCCAAGUUAGAAAUUCUUCCUAUGCUAAUCAGCAAUUGGUUUUAAACCAUAUCAAUACAGGCGGAGGCCAGCUGUGGACAA